GUAACGGCGAGCGAAAAGGGAUUAGCCCAGUGUGAAAAUCACCAGCCGUUGUGUGCUGGUGAAUUGUAGUCUGCAGUGGCAGCUCCUGGGUGGCGCGCGGCCGAAGCAUCUUGGAACAGAUCGCCUCAGAGGGUGAGAGUCCCGUAGGCCAAGCAAAGCCCAGCACGGAGCGCUCACGGAGAGUCGGGUUGUUUGGGAAUGCAGCCCCAAUCGGGUGGUAAACCCCAUCUAAGGCUAAAUACCGGUGGGAGACCGAUAGCAAAAAAGUACCUCGAGGGAACGAUGAAAAGACCGCUGGCAAGCGAGUGAAAGAGUGCAUGAAAUUG
rnacentral:rRNA from 1 species